UUCCUACUCUUAACCUUCGUUGUUCCUAGAAUUGCUUUUAGAGAACAUGAACUCAGCAUAUCAGACACCUAACAAGUUGGGAGUUACAGUAUUUCUCGUAUCAUUUGGGGGUCCUUAUAUCAUCUCUACAUCACUUCUAGGGCUGUAGGUUUUGUUUUUUAAAGAACACUACAAGCUACAUGUGGUAGUGCAUGCACACCUGUAAUCCCAGCUCCCUGAGAGGCUGAGGCAGGAUUACAAUUUAGAGCCCAGCCUGGGCAAUUUGGUGGUUUAAUGAGAACUUGUCUCAAAAUAAUAAAAAAAUAAAAGUCUGGGGAUGUAACUCAGUGUGAAGGGCUUGGGUGCAGUCCCUAGUAUAACCAAAAACAAAACCAAAGCUGGGCAUGGUGGCGCACAUCUAUAAUCACAGCACUCAAGAGGCUGAGGCAGGAGGAUCGCUGCUAUGGAGACCUUGUCAUUAUAUCCUAAUUCAGGGAUGGGGAGUGUGAGGGUGAUACUACCUGCCAGGCUUGCCUUGACCCUAUGUUCGGGUGAUAUCUAUCAGGCUUCUUGAUAGAUAGAAAGCUACUUAUUUUUCAAGACUGGGGACCCAGGGCCUCAUCCAUGCUAGGCAAGUGCUCUACCACCAAGCUACACCUCCAGCCCUUAAGCAACUAUUUUUCACUUUCUAUAUGUUCUCUCCGGAAGUGAGACAAUAAGUCCGACCCAACCUUUGUGUAGGAAAGAGCAGGAAUUGGUCUGCACCUCCAGGAGGAAAUCUUUAUUUUUAAAAUAAAAAGUUACCUUAAACAAAAAAGCAAAACGCCAUGGUUUGAAAUGUGAAAGAUACCACGGAAGAGUCUGGCAUCUCUGUCCCCAUGCUUGCCUUGCUCUUGUGACUCAUUCUAGAGGUAUCCUGCAUGCUCGGUCAAUCACGUAUAUUUUGCUUUGCCUUUGUACACAAAGGCAGCUCUGUGACCACGCUGCUUUGCACCCAGCCAUAGAGCUGCUGGGACUGGUGAGACCCACUGUCCCACUCUGAGGACGGGAAAGUGAAUUCCACGCUGCACAGCCAGGGCCUGGCCACAGCCACCAGCAGUUAGACAAACACAAGUACCUGGCUUUGGGGAGCCCUAAGAGGCAAAGGAAAAUAAAAUCCAGGGCAGUGUUCAUUAUGAGGGCAAUUUGGUGAAAGUUAACUUUUAGGAGCAGAAAGUAUAGAAGAGGGCACAAACCGUGUCACUGAGAUAAAGCAAAAGGCUCAUGAGUAUAAUGCUUUGUUCCAUGUAAAAGGAAAAUAAAAACAGACUCCAGGAUCCUGAUUCCAGCCACAGGACUGUGGCAAGAUCUUGCUCAGAGAGGGAAGGGCUGCUUACCUUCUAGAAUCUGUCUCCUUGGACUGACAGUAUGUACAGUUAAUUGCUUUGCAGAAAUAAGAGCAGAGCAAACACCCCACCCAGGGCAGGGACGAGAUGCAGGUUCUUCUGAUCCAAACUGUUAGGCUCAAGGCCACACACCGUGGGCGCCCACAUGCCAGUGCUGCUCACUGCCUGCAGGAGGCAUCGCCUCAGCCUCAUGCCUGUCCAUCUGUCUGUCCAUCCACCAACAUCCACUGUCUGUCUAGCAUGUGGCUGACCCCGCACAGGAACGGGCAGGCUGUGGCUGCCUCACAGAGUGGGCAAUCUGAUGUGGCACUGGCCUAGCAAGUGUGCCCUGAGAUCUCCACGCUCCCCCUUGCACAGGCAACGGGGCGGCUUCAUGAAGGAGGGAACACACCAGCCACACUGGGCCCUUGGCAAUCGUGAUGUUGUUUCAUCCCCACAGGGGCCCCAUAAGGGAGAUACUGCCAUGCCCAUUGCGAAGGUAAAGAUGCUCGGGCAGAGAGGCCAGGUGACUGGCUUGGGUGGAACAGCCCCUAAGUGGCAAAGGUGGGCCUUGCCGAGGGAGGGGCUGGCAGCACAACCCAUGCUCCUCACCUCCGUGGUAUUCUGCUAUUUUUUCUCAGGGGCAAAUAGCCUCCUCAUUCUUUACCCUCCACAGAGAAUCCUCACUCCUGCCGCCACACCUCUGCUGUGCUGUUCUUCCGCCUGCGCUCCACACCCAUCUCUGUACCUCUUAAUCAUUGUUUGAAGCUCAUUUCGAACACAGAUCUGAACUGUAUGCCCAGCCUUUCCCCUCCCCAGCUCUGUGGCCUUGGGAAGUCUCCUCACCUCCCCAAGCCUCAUUAGUCUCGUCUCUAAAAUGGUUAUUGAAAGGCAUGGUGCCGAUGCCUGUAAUCCCAGGCAGGAGGCUGAAGCAAGAGGGUCACAUGUUCGAGCCCUGACUGGGCAACUUAGCAAGACUCUGUCUCAAAAUAAAAAUAAACAAAAAGGGCUGGAGAUACAGCUCAGUACAAGAAUACAACACGCACGGCAGCUUUGCCUCCCUUGCAGGAUGUCCUAAGGAUCCAGUGAGGUUAUGUCACACUUCAGGGUCAUAUGCCAAAAUGUGUCACCAACCGUUACUCAACUAUCAGCAACAAUUGCUUCCUUCUUGUUUUACUUAUUGAUUCAAUGAAUAUUCCUUGAGUAUUAACUAUGUGCUAGGCAUGGAGACUUAAGGCUGACCUGAAGAAGUGAGCCUGGGUUCGUAUGUAAUGCCUUAUAAAGUCCAGAUAUUUCUAUUUAUCCUCUCUGAAAGGUUGAGUUCCUCAAAGGCAGUGCUGAGGGUCUGUGGCAUUCUUGUGUCUUGCCUUGGUACCCAGCCAAAGCCCUAAGAUACAGAAGGUGCUUCGGGCCUGCACCUAUGCAUGGUAUGGGCUGGAGGCUGUAUUGACCCCCUCAUUACCAAGGAACCUUAAGCCAAACAAGAAUUCUUUCAAAAAGAACAUGUAAAGUAUAUGCUAUGCCAGAAACCAUGAUGAACAAGUCCAAGUUGCUGGCUCAGGGGGCUUCCAGGGAAAAGUGAGCAGGACGUUCAGUCCAUCGAAGUAAGGUGAUUUCCUCCCAUGGGGACACCCAGGGCUCUAGGUUCUUAGCAGAAUUAAUGGGGUAAUACUUAUUAGACAGAGCAGUGGACGGUUUGCUAUGGUGGAACUCUGCUGAGUGCUUCACAUGUUUAGUCAUCACAAUUCUGCCAGAUAGGCACUGUUAUGAUCAACUCCUUUACCAAAAGUCAUACGGGUGCUGGGAUUAGAACCCAGGUCUUGAAUGCAGACUUUCCCGGAUCAAGAAGAUUAGCAGAUGACACUGAAUCCACCUCCUCUACCUCUCAGAAAUCGGAUGAGGUGAGGCCCCCUAGGCCAGCGCCCUUGAUGGGCAUGCGCGGCCAAGGCGAGGCAGUCGCGGUGCUAAGGUCCCUGCACCCCCCGCACCACCAGCAUGGGGACCCCAGCCUCAGUGGUGACCAUGGCCCAGGGCCACCUGCUGGCCAAGGGCGCGCAGGAGCUGUUCUCCUUGGCCGUCACUUUCAGGUCACGGGUGGAUAAGAUACAAGAAGACCUUGUCACGCUGGCAAAAACAGCAAGUGGAAUCCUCCCACUCGGUGUUAUUUAUGAGAAAUACCAAGAUUUGUAUAUUGGGGAGCCGAAUAACGCCCAGCAGCUGGUGGAGAUCACAGCCAGGGGUAUUGAACAACUCAUAAGCAACAGAUGAAAAGCCCUGGAGUGCCUGGCUCUGGAAGCAGAGAAAGUGCAAGCAGCCCACCAGUGGCCAGAGGACUUUGCAGUAACGACCUGUCCAUCUCGCUCGAUUGAUGUCGACUGACAUUUCUAUGCAGAAGAGAAGACCACAAGCCAAGAUGCAGGUGGCCCUCGGAAGCUGGAAGAGACCAUUGUCUACAUAAGCCGAAGAGCCCUGGCGGGGGUGGUAGGGUGCCGGUGCUUCCAGACUCACUGAGGUGGACAUAGUUGGGCAAAUUUCCAGCCAGCAUCACCCCCAGAGAUGGUCCAGAAAGGUGAGGCUGAAGUCUGGAGUUGCCCCCAGCUUUGAAGGAGGACUCUGACUCUAUUAGCUGUGAUUAAUAUAUUUGCAAAUCGGACGACAAGAACUUCAGCACAAAACUAGAAACUAUGGUUCCAGCGCCUGCCUCGCAAGCGCAAGGUCCCGAGUUUGAUCCCUGGCACCAAAAAAAAAAAAAGUUUGCACAAAACUAGAAACUAUAAAAAAAGAA